ensembl:miRNA
UAUAUAGGUUGGUGCAAAAGUGAUUGCGGUUUCUGCCAUUACUCUCGAUGGCAAAAACUGCAAUCACUUUUGCACCAACCUAUAAA